CAGCCGCCGCGGUAAAACGAAGGGGGCUAGCGUUACUCGGAAUUACUGGGCGUAAAGGGCGCGUAGGCGGCACGAUUAGUCAGGCGUGAAAUUCCUGGGCUCAACCUGGGGACUGCGCUUGAUACGGUCGAGCUAGAGGAUGGAAGAGGGUCGUGGAAUUCCCAGUGUAGAGGUGAAAUUCGUAGAUAUUGGGAAGAACACCGGUGGCGAAGGCGGCGACCUGGUCCAUUACUGACGCUGAGGCGCGACAGCGUGGGGAGCAAACAGGAUUAGAUACCCGAGUAGUCCCUGUCUCUUAUAC
rnacentral:rRNA from 1 species